rnacentral:lncRNA from 1 species
GAGCCAAGUACAACGCCUUGAAUCUACUGAACCCAAACUUAAGGUACAACAACAAAAUAAUUUAAGGGUUGCGAACUGGAACACACACGUCGCGACAAGAACCUCAAAUCGGCGACGAACUCAAAUAAAACUCAGCUUUACUCCAUUUUUAAAUUCUGUCCAGAUUUGUUACCCGUGUUUUCUACUGAUUUAUCUUUGCUUUUUCUCUUUUAGCUUCUCUAUGUGAGUGAUUGUUUAAAAAUUCAGAAAAUGGUGGAGUGAAUAGGUAUGGGUGUUGUCGUCUCCUCCUCUCUGUUUUCUCUAUAAAGAUGGAGGAUUAAGUGGACAUCAUGUUAUCUUCUUGGGGUCGGCGACUGGAGUGGUUAGGUAAAGGGAGGUUGGUGGUUGUGUUAUUGAGGUGGAUAUGACGCAUGAUAGUAACUGAUAAACGACGAGGAGACAGAGAACGGGGGUGAGAGGCGGAGCAAUGGUUGCUAGAGGUGUGGAGGACGGUGUAGUUGCUCUUGUUGGUGCCUGUGGGCGUUUGGUGCUCUAGAUGAUGAUGGCUGUUAGAUUUUCAUCCAAUUUUGGUAGAGGCUAUGGAGGAUUUCCAGGGAAGUCUUUGGUUGAGGGAGAAUGGGUGGCGGCUGGUCUCUUGGGCUAUCCCUAGGGUUCCGCUAGCGUGUUGUUUUUUCAUAAAGAUGGUUGCU